GUCCGAUCAAGGCACAGCCAUUGAAAAGUGGUGUCGCAAAGCUAAAGGGGCUAACGUGUGGAAACACACCAUGCCAGCCAGCCGCCGGA
rnacentral:ncRNA from 1 species